rnacentral:lncRNA from 1 species
AAAUUUUAAAAUAUAGAUAAAACACCUAGCAUCAAUGUCUUGUACAUAGUGGGCAUUCAGUAAUAGUUUACCUUUUCCUCCACCCAUUUAACCUGAAGCUCUGUCCCCAUUUUUGGAUAGGCAACACAAUGCUCUGCUCUCUUCUUUUCAAGCAUAGUGGAGAGGGAAAAAGCCUGAACAAGAAGAUUCGCCCUAGGGGAUAGAGGAUGAAAAUGUACUGAAUUUGUACUGACUGUUCCUCUGCAGUGUAUUGUUCUGAGCUACCAGCAUGAUGAAGUCUACAUUCAGAAAAAGAUGUUACAUCCGAAACUGGACACUCAGCCAAAACUGAAGCAAAGUUCCCUGGACUGGGAAAUAAGCUCUCCCUUGUAUUCUUGUUUCCUUUCCUACUGUCACCCAAAAGGUUAGCAGCAUUGCUUCAUUUCUGUAAAAUGUCUUGAAGAUUCGAAC